CGUCUAUAUACGUAUAGCAUAUCAAUAAGCGGAGGAAAAGAAACUAACUAGGAUUCCCUCAGUAACGGCGAGUGAAGCGGGAAGAGCUCAAAUUUGAAAUCUUCAAGGUUCUACCUUGACGAAUUGUAGUUUAAAGAAGUGUUUUCUGUUGGAGUUUUGGUAAAAGUUCUUUGGAAUAGGACAUCAUAGAGGGUGAGAAUCCCGUAUUUGACCAUUAUUUCCAACUUUGUGAUACACUUUCAAAGAGUCGGAUUGUUUGGGAAUGCAGUCCAAAAUGGGUGGUAAAUUUCAUCUAAAGCUAAAUACUGGCGAGAGACCGAUAGCGAACAAGUACCGUGAGGGAAAGAUGAAAAGAACUUUGAAAAGAGAGUUAAACAGUACGUGAAAUUGUCAAAAGGGAAGCGUUUGACACCAGUGUUGUUUUCUCGAAAAUCAAUUAAAAAUGGUGGGAUUUUGUGUUGUAUUGACUUUAUCAGCUUUCUGCACUUUUUUCCUAUCUUUUUUAAUGCACUUUUCGUUUAACAAGUCAACAUCAAUUUCUUUUGUUGUAAAAGGGUCAUUGGAAGGUGGCUUUCUUUUCGGAGAAAGUGUUUAUAGCCUUUGGCCUCUGCAAUCGGAGAGAUUGAGGUCUGCAGCGUAGAUCCUUCGGGGUUAGAUGCAUUUGUGCUAAGUUAUAGCCUUUCAUAGACAACUUGUUGACUAUGAUCAGUCAUGUAGCUUACUCGCUUAUGUCAUUUUACCUACGCUUAGGAUGUUGACGAUCAGCUGAGCGCG
rnacentral:rRNA from 1 species